ensembl:lncRNA
GUGCAGAGAGUGUCUUCCCGAGGAGUGGUUCUGUUGGGACUGUGAUGUAUUGAAUCACAAAAAACAGCCACUCCACAACAGGGAAUGUGCGAUUCAUGGGUUUUUUGAAGCCAUUCCUCCAACCCUGUGCAUAAUUAAAGGGGAAUGUAGAUAUUGCAUCCAUGAGCAAGCUUGCAUUUUGCCAACUGUGAAGGUGCCAGACUGCUCCUGUGAAGACACAAACUUCACUGUGUUACCUGGCAAACCAGUGAUUGUAAUCACCAUCAAUGGGCGUUUUGACUUGCAUCAGCCACUAUAUAAAUGUCAAACAUGCCAGCAGCAUUGGACUCCUGAUUCGAAAGACCUCCUUAGGAGUGUAUAUUGGCCAGCCUCUGUCAGCAAUUCAAUGCAGUAUACACUGGACCUCCUGAACUCCUUUCAGGAACUCAAGGUCAUUGCUCCAGGAUUCUUCAGACAAGCCUUUGCAAAGCUCCUGGACCAUCGCACUAAGACUGGAGGAAGACUAUGUGUUAUUGUUAUUACUGUCUUAUAACAUGUCUUUCCAUAAGCAGACAACAUCACAAAUACUGUUUAUUUCUAUAUAGUCUGGACAUAUCAACGGUGAUGCUCUGCAGCGGCGCUUCUUCUUUUGAGGAAGACCAGCUCUGCUGUGGUACUCCUUUCACCUGCCCAGCCUGUAUGCCGGAAAUGUUGGCUGUUUCAGCUGAUGGGAACAGAAAGCUAUAUCGCUUUCACCGAAACACAAGGUGGUCUUUGUUUCAGUCUUUUUAUUGAUUUAUUUAUUUACUUUAUAUAUUUAAUGCAUGGAUUCCCUAUUUUUCUUUCUCCCUCAGCUCUGAUGAUCCUGGCUUUUUUAGGGGCUCUUUGUGGCUGAAGACAGUGCAUUGUCUACAUUUGUCAACACCAUACAGAAAGUAAUGAAAAAUGCAAGUUUUAAUCUUAACUUGACAAAAUAGUUAAUAACCAUAUAGGUCCAUUCAGAAGGAGCUCAUGCCAGCCAAGGCAAAAUUCUUCACAAUGGAUGUGGCUUGCAAAUAUUGGCCAUACUUGGAGAAAGCUGCUAGAGUCCUUCCUGCUCUUCAGGAGCUCACCGAGAUGAAACCAUUCCUCAGUGUAAUGCAUGCUCGAGCCCAUGCUACAAAGUGUGAGAUUAAAUGGAGUGGUAGGAACCAGGAAGGAGCAGGAACAACAGCCGGUGAGGAGGAGGAGCAAGUGAACAGCUACCUCUCACGUUGUGCCCUGACGACCAAAUACAUGUCAGAAGCAGCACGGGUGGACAUGCUUACCUUGCAUGCAGUGGGGUGGAACCACAAAACAAGUCUCUCUCUACAUCAGGCACUUUCCACAAGAUAUGUGAAGACAAGUCUCUUAUUAAUUGUUUUGUGUGUCCUUUUGUUGUGUGCACUUGGCCUGUUGUUUAUCAUACAAAGUUUUUAUCCUGAUUAUUGUAUAUUAAAGGGUUAG